rnacentral:RNase_P_RNA from 1 species
UCAGUCGGCCGGGCGGCCGCUCCGCUUGUCGGAGAGGAAAGUCCGGGCUCCAUGGAAGUACGGUGCCGGAUAACGUCCGGCGGGGGUAACCCUAGGGAAAGUGCCACAGAAAGCAGACCGCCCCGCUCAUGCGGGGUAAGGGUGAAAGGGUGCGGUAAGAGCGCACCGCGGACGCAGUAAUGCGGACGGCACGGCAAACCCCACCGGGAGCAAAACCGAAUAGGGACGACAGGCGUUCGCGCCAGGCCCGUUUCCAGGCUCGUCGUCCGGGUUGGUUGCUUGAGGCGGUCAGCAAUGACCGUCCCAGAGGAAUGGCCGCCACGUCCGGGGUUCGCGCCCCGGGCCCUACAGAACCCGGCUUACAGGCCGGCUGACAAC